GCCGUUCCCUCGAAUACACACACCGUGCUGUCGCGAACAACAAAUACAUAUAUAUCUUUAUAUAUACAUACAUAUACAUGUUUACCACGAUCUUCCGUCACAUGAACGAAACGCAAAUCAAUUCGUAUCAAUCGCACAUACUUUCCUGCAAACGAUAACUCAAUCCGAGCAGACUACUUCUCGCUGAAAGGUCCCAGCAGGAUCGGCUGUGGUCCUGCUGUGCAGGUUUCCUCAACAACCACUGUGCGAUGUCGUUCCUAGCCACCCUGGAUUCCAACACU